GUCUCCCUUUGACAUUCCAUCAUUUGCUACAGGAUUGUUCUGAUUAUAAGUGACCGUUUGGGGUUGAUGUUAUUCUGGCAGUUCCUGAUCAAGAAAGGGAUUUCAGAUUAUCUGGGGUGACUACCAAAAGUAGCUAGUACUUCAAGCUCACCAAGAUGGUGUCAAGGUUAUUCACCAAGUGAGUGAAAUCUUUACACUGGAGCACUUCUAAUAUGCUGGAAUCUUACAUAAUCUAGAGAGAACCAACUACCAGUAACCUUGCAGGCUUGCACCUCAUUCACUCAAAUGUCUUACAUUGAGGGUUCGAAGUUCGAACAUUUGAAGUAGCUGAGAAUUUUAUUACUCAUUCAUGCUGGUAGAGAUCACUGUCCAAGGACUCAAAGCUGGGGAGGUAUGUCAUUCGAUUCGACAGGAUUUUUUUCUUUCAAGCAAACGCCUUUCAUUAUACAGUUGCCUGCCCCAAAAUUGACCUCUGCUAAUAUUUUGAAAGGAUCGUAGCAACUGUGUCACGAAGUUACUUGUUUCUCCCAAACCACCAAUUAAGACACCUUUCAGUUCAGUGCUUCCGUUUGUAGAAACAGCUAUCCGUCCAGCAACACCUAGAUUUCCUCGCGCUGCACUAUUGGUACUCAUCUUCAUGACACACGUUGGAAAAAAUCUCCAAUAGCAUUUUGUUGUCCUUGCUUGCGUUUUAAGACUCUUGUUUCCAGCUUAAAGUUGUGAAGUAUUGGCCAGUGUUGUUCAUAGCAUCUAGCACUUUACGCAAGCUAUCCUGAUUUCUGUCAAGCAUAUUGAGGUCAGUACUGAUCACUCUUAUUUAAGUUCUUUCCCAGUGGUUUCUUAUGAGGCGUACUUGUGCUUUUUUUUUCUUAUCAAUAAAAGUAGCUUUUUCAUUAGCUCUUUGACUCUUUCAUUGUCACUAUUUGACAUUCCACCAUUUAUUACAGGAUUGUUGAUCGGGAUGAUAAGAGAACUAAUAAGGAAGGCAAGAGCCUUGACUGAUGGUUUGGGGUUGAUGUUAUUCUGGCAGUUCCUGAUCAAGAUUGGGUUAAUUCUCAGGUUAUCUGGGGUGACUACUAAAAAAAACUAGUACUUAAAGCUCACCAAGCUGGUGUCAAGGUUGUUCACCAAGUGAGUGCGCUUUGUACUCUCAACCACGAAUACGAAUAAUAUGCUGGAAAUCUUACAUGAUCUAGAGAUAUCCAACUACCAGGCACCUUGCAGGCUUGCACCUCAUUCACUCUGUUGUAUUACAUGGAGGGUUGGAACAUUUGAAGUAGCUGAGAAUGUUAUUACUCAUCAAUGCUGGGGUAACGCAAAUUUCGACUUUCAAUUGGGGGGUAAGUGCCAAAAUCUCAAAAAAAAGAAUGAAGACUUUUCUUCACUCAGUUGUUUGCCAAAAAAAUAAUCUCUUAUUUGUUAGGUAUAAGGAUCACCCAUACUUCCAUUCUUUUACCUCUGCCAAUGUUUUGAGAUGGUCUCAUAGCCGGCAGUGUCUUGAUUGCCUCAUGCUGCACUCUCAAUAUUUUUGAAGUCCUUGCUUAUGUUUUGAUUGCACUGCUUAUAUAUAUAUAUAUAUAUAUAUAUAUCUGUUAAAAUAUGUAGUUCUAUGAAGGUUGUAAUUUUCUGUUAAUUUAAUUCUUUUGUUGGAUUUCUGUGAUCAUUUUGCUGCUCUGACCCUAGGGCCCAAUUUUGUCAAAGAUGGCUAGUGGCUACAUCAAAUCCAUGACAUUUUUAGAAUCUUUAAAAUUGUUUUGGAACUUCCAUUAGAAAUUCUUGAAAACUUUCGGACAUUAGUAGAAUAGUAGAUUACAUUAGCACUUAGCAUUGGUUGCGGGGUGCCAAGCUGCAAGUUGGUGCCAUCAUUCAAAUUAAAAUGUCAAGAUAGAGGACUGACAUGCUUGUAACACCAACUUUCUCAUUAGUAAACAUCGAUUCAAUUUUCACUUUUCAUACUGUCAUUAUUUGGAAGCCUCGAUCAAAUUGAUAGAACACUUACAAGAGUAUUUUUUGAACUAUCAUUUACGUGCACUUACUAGAAUCUUUGUCUGAAUAUUUACAGUAUUUAUUUAGUUUUGUAUUUGUUAUAAAGAAGAUUGAUGGUAAUGUUUUUCAGGUGCAUUUUAUAUUAUAUUGAAUUACACUUAAAACAGAUUGACAAUGUAACAGUGCAUAAACCAUAAUCCAAUAUUUGACUAAAGUGUCCCUAAUUAACACAGAUAGCCUAGGAAUCUUGUGGAAACAUUGAUGCUAUUUCUCCAUCCAUAAUUUCCAAUAAUUUGUAUUUUCGCUGAUCAUAGUAGGAAGAACAUGUAAACUAUUGUUGAGAAUUUUUCAAUUUUGCAUUCAUAAACUAAUACUGUUGAUUGUGUUCUUUGCAGUGAAUAAACUUCCGUAAUCACUUCUAGUGACAGAGCUCAGAUCGGUCAUCCAAACCUGAACUGCAAGCACAUAUAUGGUUCUCACACUCUGCCACUUCAUUACAUCAUUACAGCACUAUUAGGGAGAAAAGUUCGGUGGUUUCCUAUCUAUGCUGUCGAGAUCUAGCAUUGUGUUAUUUUCGGAACUUUAUGCUGUGUAAGUAACAUUAUUGACUGGCUGGUAUACCAUUUUCCAUUAUUUACUUCAUUACAUCUACCUUGUUGUAGCAUUUGCUCUUUGGUUCUUGUAAUCACUCUUGAUGUCUUCCAUACUCAACAUCUCAAUUCAGGUCUGUGGUGCUUCAAAAAUCUUAUAUAAUCUUCUUUUCUAGCAUCUGGAGUGGUAUGCUCGCUUAUCAAUCAUAAAUAUCUGUAACCUGCUGACAAGAAGAUUGUGUUUUCAAGUUUCUCCAGUUGUUUUUCUUGAUUAUAA
rnacentral:lncRNA from 1 species